rnacentral:rRNA from 1 species
AAUGAACGUUGGCGGCGUGGAUUAGGCAUGCAAGUCGAGCGAGAAGUUUUCCUUCGGGAAAACGGAAAGCGGCAAACGGGGUAGUUAUGCGUAGGUUACGUACCCUGAGGACCGGGAUAGCUAUGGGAAACUGUGGGUAAUACCGGAUAACCUCUACGGAGCAAAUGGUGUGAUUCCGCCUUGGGAGCGGCUUACGUGGUACUAGGUUGUUGGUGGGGUAAUGGCCUACCAAGCCUAAGAUGCCUAGGGGGGUGUGAGAGCAUGGCCCCCACCACUGGGACUGAGACACUGCCCAGACACCUACGGGUGGCUGCAGUCGAGAAUCUUCGGCAAUGGACGCAAGUCUGACCGAGCGACGCCGCGUGCGGGAUGAAGGCCCUUGGGUUGUAAACCGCUGUCAGAGGGGAUGAAAUUCUAGAAGGCUAUCCUUCUAGAUUGACAGAGCCUCAGAGGAAGCAC